UCGAGAAUUUUUCACAAUGGGCGCAAGCCUGAUGGAGCGACGCCGCGUGGGGGAUGAAUGGCUUCGGCCCGUAAACCCCUGUCAUUUGCGAUCAACCGUUAUUAUUUAAAAGAUGAUGACCUGAUAGUAGCGAAAGAGGAAGGGACGGCUAACUCUGUGCCAGCAGCCGCGGUAAUACAGAGGUCCCAAGCGUUGUUCGGAUUCACUGGGCGUAAAGGGUGCGUGGGUGGCGAGGUAAGUCGGAUGUGAAAUCUCCAAGCUCAACUUGGAAAAUGCAUUGGAAACUACCUUGCUCGAGGUUUGGAGGGGGGACUGGAAUACUUGGUGUAGCAGUGAAAUGCGUAGAUAUCAAGUGGAACACCAGUGGCGAAAGCGAGUCCCUGGACGACUCCUGACACUGAGGCACGAAAGCUAGGGGAGCAAACA
rnacentral:rRNA from 1 species